rnacentral:rRNA from 1 species
UACGAAGGGGGCUAGCGUUGCUCGGAAUGACUGGGCGUAAAGGGCGCGUAGGCGGCUUGCACAGUCAGGCGUGAAAUUCCUGGGCUCAACCUGGGGGCUGCGUUUGAUACGUGCGGACUUGAGUGCGGAAGAGGGUCGUGGAAUUCCCAGUGUAGAGGUGAAAUUCGUAGAUAUUGGGAAGAACACCGGUGGCGAAGGCGGCGACCUGGUCCGAUACUGACGCUGAGGCGCGAAAGCGUGGGGAGCAAACAGG